GCAGGACCCUCGGCUUUUAAAGCGACCUCGCUCCCGCCGCCCUCCCCGAGCCAAACAGGGGUCGGCCCGUCGGUGUUCGGGCCACUCGCAAGAAGGGCCGUCAAAAAAAAUGCCGCCGCCGCCGUGCGUCAAAGGGCGGCUUUGCUUGAGUCGGACAGUCGGCCAGGGUACCACUUUGAAAUGAAAACAGGGACCUGAUUGGCAUCAUUUGGUAUCCAUAGAAACAUGGGAAGCUUUCACAGGUACUGAGGAACACAUUUGGCCUCUAACUGAGCUGAAAUCCUGGAUGAAAUGAAUCAACAUGGCUACCCACAAAGACUUGUCGGCUACAGAUACCAUUCUGAACAUUAUCAGCAGGAAUUGUGCAGUGCUCUCUUGUGUUGAAUUCUCUGCAUUUGCAAGGAGAAAAAGAAGACUGGGAAAUCUGCCUAAAACUCAUUAUUUAGUAAGAAAAUAAAGAGAGAAAACUGUUUUAUGUCUUUGAAUCAAUUGCAAGUUUUAAAAAUUAAGAAUAAUAUUCUUUUGUGACAUUAUUUUAUAUUCUUAAUAUAGUCGUCAUGAUUAUAGUCAGGAAAUGAAAAAAUAGAUGAUACAUUUUAACUAUUAACAGUAAAAUAUCCUAGUUAUUGCAGUAACAACAUCCAGUGACAUAUUUUAACUAUCAUAAGGGAGGAAAAAAGUAAUAUUUAACAAUAUGAGGUCUUGCAAUACCAUAUGCAAGAUGUUGAACUAUUUCUUAAGAGUUUCAGGUGAACUGACAAUUAUCAAUCUGUCAUAUUUGAAUAUGAAACAUUUACUGAAAAUUACACUCAUUUUGCAAUGAAUCCCACUGACAAUAACUUAAAUACUCAUGAAUUACAGCCUUGGUUAGGUAAAUAGCAUUUUCUCAACCUGUGCUAGGAUUCACAUUCACAUUCACAUUUCAUUUUAUAUAACCAUUACAAGGACAUAUUUCUCUAUAGAA